rnacentral:rRNA from 1 species
GACGAACGCUGGCGGCGUGCUUAACACAUGCAAGUCGAACGGAAAGGCCCUGCUUUUGUGGGGUGCUCGAGUGGCGAACGGGUGAGUAACACGUGAGUAACCUGCCCUUGACUUUGGGAUAACUUCAGGAAACUGGGGCUAAUACCGGAUAGGAGCUCCUGCUGCAUGGUGGGGGUUGGAAAGUUUCGGCGGUUGGGGAUGGACUCGCGGCUUAUCAGCUUGUUGGUGGGGUAGUGGCUUACCAAGGCUUUGACGGGUAGCCGGCCUGAGAGGGUGACCGGCCACAUUGGGACUGAGAUACGGCCCAGACUCCUACGGGAGGCAGCAGUGGGGAAUAUUGCACAAUGGGCGGAAGCCUGAUGCAGCAACGCCGCGUGCGGGAUGACGGCCUUCGGGUUGUAAACCGCUUUCGCCUGUGACGAAGCGUGAGUGACGGUAAUGGGUAAAGAAGCACCGGCUAACUACGUU